AUUGAACGCUGGCGGCAUGCCUUACACAUGCAAGUCGAACGGUAACAGGUCUUCGGAUGCUGACGAGUGGCGAACGGGUGAGUAAUACAUCGGAACGUGCCCGAUCGUGGGGGAUAACUACUCGAAAGAGUAGCUAAUACCGCAUACGAUCUACGGAUGAAAGCGGGGGAUCUUCGGACCUCGUGCGGACGGAGCGGCCGAUGGCAGAUUAGGUAGUGGGUGGGAUAAAAGCUUACCAAGCCGACGAUCUGUAGCUGGUCUGAGAGGACGACCAGCCACACUGGGACUGAGACACGGCCCAGACUCCUACGGGAGGCAGCAGUGGGGAAUUUUGGACAAUGGGCGAAAGCCUGAUCCAGCAAUGCCGCGUGCAGGAUGAAGGCCUUCGGGUUGUAAACUGCUUUUGUACGGAACGAAAAGACUCCUUCUAAUACAGGGGGUCCAUGACGGUGCCGUAAGAAUAAGCACCGGCUAACUACGUGCCAGCAGCCGCCGUAACAC
rnacentral:rRNA from 1 species